rnacentral:rRNA from 1 species
AUACCAAUUGUUGCCUCGGCGGAUCAGCCCGCUCCCGGUAAAACGGGACGGCCCGCCAGAGGACCCUUAAACUCUGUUUCUAUAUGUAACUUCUGAGUAAAACCAUAAAUAAAUCAAAACUUUCAACAACGGAUCUCUUGGUUCUGGCAUCGAUGAAGAACGCAGCAAAAUGCGAUAAGUAAUGUGAAUUGCAGAAUUCAGUGAAUCAUCGAAUCUUUGAACGCACAUUGCGCCCGCCAGUAUUCUGGCGGGCAUGCCUGUUCGAGCGUCAUUUCAACCCUCAAGCCCAGCUUGGUGUUGGGACUCGCGAGUUAAAUCGCGUUCCCCAAAUUGAUUGGCGGUCACGUCGAGCUUCCAUAGCGUAGUAGUAAAACCCUCGUUACUGGUAAUCGUCGCGGCCACGCCGUUAAACCCCAACUUCUGAAUGUUGACCUCGGAUCAGGUAGGAAUACCCGCUGAACUUAAGCAUA